UGAUUGGUCGUUUUCAAUUCAUCGGUGG
rnacentral:piRNA from 1 species